AGUGAACGCUGGCGGUAGGCCUAACACAUGCAAGUCGAACGGCAGCACAGUAAGAGCUUGCUCUUACGGGUGGCGAGUGGCGGACGGGUGAGGAAUACAUCGGAAUCUACUUUUUCGUGGGGGAUAACGUAGGGAAACUUACGCUAAUACCGCAUACGACCUACGGGUGAAAGCAGGGGAUCUUCGGACCUUGCGCGAUUGAAUGAGCCGAUGUCGGAUUAGCUAGUUGGCGGGGUAAAGGCCCACCAAGGCGACGAUCCGUAGCUGGUCUGAGAGGAUGAUCAGCCACACUGGAACUGAGACACGGUCCAGACUCCUACGGGAGGCAGCAGUGGGGAGUAUUGGACAAUGGGCGCAAGCCUGAUCCAGCCAUACCGCGUGGGUGAAGAAGGCCUUCGGGUUGUAAAGCCCUUUUGUUGGGAAAGAAAAGCUGUAGGUUAAUACCCCGCUGCUCUGACGGUACCCAAAGAAUAAGCACCGGCUAACUUCGUG
rnacentral:rRNA from 1 species